AUGCGGUCACACCAUUGCCCAAACAGGAUCAUGUUUCCCUUGCCUUUUCUUGGAUUGGCUCUUGUGCUGCUGAUAUCCCUGGUCCCUCCGACCAGCUCCUGCACGGAGCAGGAAAAGAGCUCCCUCCUCCAGCUCCUUGCUGGGUUCUCGCAGGACGGCGGCCUCGCGGCGUCUUGGCGGAAGGAUACGGACUGCUGCACUUGGGAAGGGAUCACCUGCAGCCCUAACAGGACGGUCAGUGAUGUUUUGUUGGCCUCUCGAGGUAUUGAGGGGUCCAUCUCGCAGUUCCUUGGAAAUCUCACCGGCUUGUUGCGCCUCAACCUGUCGUGCAACUCACUAUCCGGUGGCUUGCCGCUAGAAUUAGUGUCAUCCAGCAGCAUCAUUGUCCUUGACGUCAGUUUCAACCGCCUGACAGGAGGACUGAGCGAGCUGCCAUCUUCAACCCCCGCACGGCCUCUGCAGGUAGUGAACGUCUCAAGCAACUUGUUUACAGGAAGGUUUCCAUCCACAUGGGAGGUGAUGAAGAGCCUGGUCGCGCUCAAUGCCAAGAACAAUAGUUUUACUGGGCAGCUACCAACUAUACUAUGUCUCAGCGCACCAUCUUUUACUGUGCUUGAACUCAGUUUUAACGAAUUCAGUGGAAACAUUCCUCCUGGACUCGGUAAUUGCUCCAUGCUGAAAUUGCUCAGCGCUGGCUACAACAACCUCAGUGGGACUCUUCCAGACGACGUCUUCAAAGUCACCUCGUUAGAGCACCUCUCUUUACCUAACAAUUGGUUAGAAGGAGCACUCAAUGGCAUCAUCAAGCUCAAAAAUCUGGUCAGCCUUGAUCUUGGGGGCAACGAGCUUAGCGGCAAUAUUCCAGAAUCCAUAGGUGAGCUGAAGAGUUUGGAGGAGCUGCAUUUGGAACAAAACCACAUGUCAGGGGAGCUGCCAUCAGCUCUGAGCAACUGCACACAACUCAUAACAAUUAGCUUAAAGGGCAACCAAUUCCGUGGAGAACUUACCAAGGUCAACUUCUCAAACCUGCCCAAUCUAGAAAAAAUAGAUCUUCUGCACAAUAACUUCAUCGGCAACAUUCCAGAAAGCUUAUACUUGUGCAGCAAACUGACUGCACUACGGCUCUCUGGCAAUCAUUUACAUGGCCAAUUGUCAGAAAAGAUAGGCAAUCUGAAGUCUCUCUCGUUUCUAUCAGUUGCUAACCUCUCCCUUACGAAUAUCACAAGAACACUUCAGAUCCUUGGGAGUUCCAGGAGCCUGACCAACCUUUUUAUUGGGUCCAACUUCCUGCAUGAGGCUAUCCCAGAGGACGACAGCAUUGAUGGUUUUGAGAAUCUUCAGGUUCUUUCUAUGAGUGAUUGUUCAUUGUCUGGAACAAUACCUGGUUGGUUAUCCAAGCUCACAAAUUAA
rnacentral:rRNA from 1 species